AUUGAACGCUAGCGGCAGGCCUAACACAUGCACGUCGAACGAGUGGCGGACGGGUGAGUAAAGUCUGGGAAACUGCCUGAUGGAGGGGGAUAACUACUGGCAACGGUAGCUAAUACCGCAUACCAUCGGCAGUUCCAAGAUGGGAUUAGCUAGUAGGUGUGGUACAGGCUCACCUAGGCGACGAUCCCUAGCUGGUCUGAGAGGAUGACCAGCCACACUGGAACUGAGACACGGUCCAGACUCUGACGGGAGGCAGCAGUGGGGAAUAUUGCACAAUGGGCGCAAGCCUGAUGCAGCCAUGCCGCGUGUAUGAAGAAGGCCUUCGGGUUGUAAAGUACUUUCAGCGGGGAGGCGUUACCCGCAGAAGAAGCACCGGCUAACUCCGUGCCAGCCGCCGCGGUAAUAC
rnacentral:rRNA from 1 species